GCUCCCCAAACAGACGCACACCCAGCCACACGCGCGCGCGCGCACAUACACACACACACACACACACACACACGCACGCACCCCCGCGCGCACACGCCCGCCCGCUCUGCCUCUGCGCCCUCCAUCCCGGCUCGCUCAUUCUCUCGCCCUCUCGCUUCCCCUGCGGUCUCUCGCUCUGCGCGCACACACCACACACAGGCACACGCACACACACGCGCGCACACACGCAGCCGGCACAGGCAGCAGCGGCGGCGGCUGCUCAAGUCAGGACGAACCUCUCUAGAGCAUGGCGGGCUGCGGGCUGUCGGAAGACACCUUCUUCUCUUCCUUCUUUUACAACUACGGCUCCUCCGGGGAAACCCCUUCCAACCAGGUAAGGGGUGGCUCGGUGCCUGGCGGCGUCGCGCCCCGUGCCCCUCGCCGUGCGCUCACUUGGCACUCGGCGGGGAGGCAGAGGCUUGGGAGGGGGUGGGGAGGCUGGGGGGCCAAGUGGGUCGCAACGUCUGGGUCAGUGCCAACCGGCUAGAGGAGGUGUCCCCCUUCCCCCAGCACGAGCUCUUUGGUCUCCAGGGUCUGUCGCGUCCCUCCCUUGUCCAAUCUGCCAUCCAAACCUUCCCCUUCCAACCUCCCAACCCAGCGGGAACCAGAGAGAGAGGCAGGAGCCGGCACGUUACCCCGAACAACUCCAGGCAAAACCAGGGAACUCGAGCGCAACCUUCCCCAAGUCGCCGCGGGCGCCGCGCCCCUGUGCGCCCGGCGCCUGCCCGCCCUCCAGUUGCGCCGAGGGGCUGCAGAGCUGAUUUAAAGGAAACUGACAAUAACCUUGGAAGCACGUGGAAUUCAGCAAGUGUCUUCUGGGAACCUCCUCUGUGCCAAGUGCUAUGUUGUUCCCUGUGGGAAGAUGUAAAAGAGUUCCUGCUCUGCAGAUACUUCUAGUCUCCCUCGGGUUUCAGGAAGAGUGUAUGAAAACUUUACCACCACCGCAGUAACAGUUCAGGGCAACCGUUACAAGGCCUCCCAGGAUUAACUGUCAAGUGAAUCGCACAGAUAAUCAUUGUUCUAGGAACUCCUAGAGACCACUCUUUGAGUUUGCUUUUGGGCGAGGGAUUUGAACAGGCAUCCAAAGAUUGGGAAUAUGCUCCGAAACAGACUGGAGAGAAGAGCGGAAGUCAGAGUGAGAUACUGGAGCAGUUCCUCUUUUGGAAGAAUUCCUUCAGGGGAAAAGUCUCCACGGAGGUACGGGAUUUGACCCAGGGGGCUGAGUCACCUGCCCAUGACUGGUUGGUAAAUUCAUGGCAAAUCCAGGCUUAGAACGCCAGGGUCUGUUUGAGUGAAGGGGUCAUGUUAUUGGGGUCUAUCUUGGAUCUUUGAUGAGAAAGUGAAAGUGAAAGUCACUCAGUCACAUCCGACUCUGUGACCCCAUGGACUAUAGUCUACCUGGAAUUCGCUCAGUCACGGCCGACUCUUUGUGACCCCAUGGACUAUAGUCUACCUGAAAUUCUCCAGGCCAGAAUGCUGAUGGGAAAGAUCAGAGCAAUGAUAACAGGAUUCUGUGAGUGACUUCGGGGUCCUUGUGCCUGCAGGUUAGAAUCUAUCUAAUCCUGUCUUGGAAAGUUUCGUAUUUUCUUCUGGAACUCUUUUUUUUUUCAUAUGAAAGUGGUUAUGGGAACCCCCACGUUGUUGCUGUAUCUGACCACAUUCCUAGGUUUGAGUGUCUGCCUGAUACCAGUUGAACACUUAAUAGGUCACCAUUGGAGGCUGUUUUAGUGACUCCAACCUGGAACCUGGAGGAAGUCAAGAGGGAAACAGGAAUAAAUGACAAGUACAGAGAAUGGAAGGACCCAUAUGGAUUACUUGUAACUGGUGUGCCCAAGGAGUCCUAGCUGCUCUGUAGAGUGGUGGCUCUCAAAGUUGGUCUUAUGAACUGCAAAGCCCAGUUCAGUUAAACUUCUCGCUCAAAAAUCUCCCAAUUUAGAACAGAUGAAGAUGGUCUUCCCACAUCCCCUGCACCUGAGUCGUCCCUGAGAGGGUGAAGAGGCUGAGUCCUAACCAGUGGACCACCAGGGAAUUCACAAUAUCUUUUUAUUUUGUAUCUUAUCCUCUUCAAGUUCUUUUUGGUUCAUGGGCUAUAAUAUAUAUAGUAUAUUAAUGCAGAAGUAAUGUAUAAUUAAAUUAUAAAUUAAAAAACAUUCUGGGGAUUUGCGCUCAAUUUAAUUCUUUUACUUUACUAGUGGAAAUAAUGUUUGGAAACCUCAGUCCUGGUCUGUGAGUUUCAAGCUUCAGUAUUUUAAUUCUCUUCUACUAAUGGGGCUAGAUCCCAUUGUGAUAUAAACAGGAUGCCCAGCUCUUCUGAGAAGAGAGUUUAACUGCUCACAGGCAUUCUGCAGUUUGUCAUUUAUGGCAGGUUUUGAGGACAUCAACAUUGCAGUGGUAUUUUUGAGAGGAAAUUUUUAUCAUUAUAGCUCCAACACACAUCACAAGCAGAAACAAUAAUUUCAUUAGCAGCCAAAAAUUGUAAUAAUGCUGUUGAAUAUAAAUUUCACUGCUAUGGUAAUUCUAAAACACAAGUAUGAUGAGUAAAAAAUUGCAGCAGUAUUACUGGGAAUAAACUUUAUUGCCGUGAGUAAGACACAAGUGGGAGGAUUGAUGGAGACUCAGAUUUUGGAUGAUUAUUUUCAGCCAGUGGUGUUCAGUAGGAACAUAGGUUACUUUUCCCUCCAGUGCCAUACCCUCAUCUCUGGUGGAGAAUCCCUGCUCCAUAGAGAAUGGAAUAAUGCUCCCUUCGCUCAAACUGCAACUCACAUAUGUCUUUUACUCAGUCUUUUAUUACCUCAGUCAUUCUAUCCUGUUGCUUAAGACAGAACCCAAGAAUUGUCCUCUCUUUCCCUGUUUCUCCCAAUGCAUCACCAAGUGCUAUCAGUUCUAACUCUGAGUCAGUUUAUUCCUCUCCAUCUUCUCUGCCUCCCCCUGUUCCAGUGCUGGACCUCCUACUAAACUACCCACUCUCUGUGCUAUUCCCUUCCAACCAGCUAUCUGUCUUCCAGAGCCAGAGUGAAUGUUGCCCUGUGGGAACUGGAUCAACCAUCUUCCAGUUAACUCCCUCUUGUGGCUUUCUUUAUCGACACAUUUCAAUCCAAACUCCUUACCAUGGGUUUCAAGAUCCUGCAGGAUGUCCAGUCUCAUCCCCUGCAGUCCUCACCCGGGGUCACUAUGUCUAACCACUCAUGUCUGUCUGCUAAUUCUUAGACUCUGCUCUGGCCUGAAUUGGGUCAUUUUACCCACUGCCCAAGUUCACAUGUUGAAGCUGUAAACCCCUAAAGGUGACAGCGCCUUUGGGAGAUAAUAAGGACUAGAUGAAGUCAUGAGGGUGGGGGGGUCCUCAUGACAGAAUUAGUGUCCUGAUAUAGAGACACCAGAGAACCUGCUUCUUUCUCUGUCAUGUGAGGACACAGAAAGAAGAUGGUCUGCUGAAAGCUGGGAAGAGCACCCUCAUCAGGAGCCUAUCAACCAGCACCUUGAUUUUGGACUUCUCAGCCUCCAGAACUGUGAGAAAUACAUGCCUGUUGUUUAAGUCAGAGAGUCUGUGGUAUUUUGUUAUGGCAGUAAGAGCUGAUUAAAACAGACACCAAGUGCUUGCCAGGCCUGGUGCGUUAGUUCCCUCAGCUCUGAGCUGCCUACAUCUAGACUUCAAGUUAUGUAUGUCCCUUCCUUGAAACAUGCCUCCUUGACCACCUAGGUAAAGUGACCACUUAUGGGCCUAGGUUACUGCCCAUCUCUGCACCUGAGAUGUGGCCUCCACUCCUCUAGGGGGCACUGUUCACAUAGACUAUGGGGUAAAAGAUGGCCUUGGAAGCUGUGUAGUGAGAGUAGUCCUUCCUCAUCUCCUUUCUUUCCUUCACAGAUAUUGACCUAAUCUGACAUCAUCUUACAUGUUUGUGUACUGCUUUGAUAGACAAAAGCUCAGUCUUGAAGUAUAAAUUAAAAUUAAUGAGGUACACCUCAUAUCAGUAAAAAUGGCCAUCAUUACAAAGUCUACAAAUAGCAAAUGCUGGAGAGGGUGUGGAGAAAAGGGAACCCUCCUGCACUGGUGGUGGGAAAGUAAACUGGUAGAAUCACUAUGAAGAACUGUAUGGAGGUUCCUCAGAAAACUAACAAUAGAGUUGCCAUAUGAUCCUGCAAUCCCAUCCUUGGGCCUAUAUCUGGAGAAAACUCUAAUUUGAAAAGAUACAUGCACCCCAAUGUUCAUUGCAGCACUGUUUACUAUAGUGAAGACAUGGACACAAGCUAAAUGUCCUUCAACAGAGGAAUGAAUAAAGAAGAUAUAUUACAUAUAUACAAUGGAAUACUAUUCAGCUGUAAGAAGAAUGAAAUAAUGCCGCAUGCCGCAAGAUGAAUGGACCUAGAGAUUAUCAUACCAAGUGAAGUAAGUCAGAAAGACGAUACCAUAUGAUAUCACUUAUAUGUGAGUCUAAAAUAUGACAUGAAUGAACUUAUCUAUGUAGUAGAAACAGACUCACAGACAUAAAGAACAGAACUGUAGUUUCCAAGGCGGUGGGGGGAGGGUGGGGAAGGGUGGAUUGGGAGUUUAGGAUUAGCAGAUGCAAGCUGUUAUACAGAGAAUGGCUAGACAACAAGGUCCCUCUGUUUGGCACAGGGAGCUAUGUUCAGUAUCCUGUGAUAAACCAUAAUGGAAAAGAUUAUGAAAAAGAAGGUAUAUAUGUGUAUAAAUGGAUCACUUUGCUGUAUAGUAAAAAUUAACACAACAUUGUAAAUCACCUCUACAUCAAUAAAAUAAAUUUUAAAUAAAGAGCCCAGUCUUUUAAGAGAGCUCUUAUAAUUUUCAGGUUUGUAGUUCCACGUCUGAUGGGGAGGACAGAUACCAUCACAUAUUGGCAAACAAAAUGCCAGGUGUUCACGUUGCUCUGCUGAGUUCUCCGUGAGGUAAGUCAGGCAGACGUUCCUCGCCAGGCAGACACGCUGUGGGGUGGCAAGGAGGUGUCAGCUCAUCUGCCACCUCUGCUCACCUGUGAGAGCUGCAGAGAGCGCUGCCUUGCCAGGCCACACUGAAGCCUGAGGUGGAGAAAAAUUGGUAGCACCCAUCCUGUUCUGACUUAAGAUUUUAGCUUUUCACUCAUCAUCAACUUUUUUUCUGUCAGUUUUUUUUUUUUUAACAUAUUGCAUUAAAAUAUUAUCUUGGUUACUGAGUGGUUUUUUUUUUUUUUUUUGGCUGCACUGCGUCUUUAUUGCUAUGCAUGGGCUUUCUCCAGUUGUGGUGAGUGGGGUCUAAUCUCUAGUUGGUGUGUGCAAGCUUCUCAUUGCAGUGGCUUCUCUUCUUGUGGAGCACAGGC
rnacentral:lncRNA from 1 species